rnacentral:rRNA from 1 species
AUUGAACGCUGGCGGCAUGCCUUACACAUGCAAGUCGAACGGUAACAGGUCUUCGGAUGCUGACGAGUGGCGAACGGGUGAGUAAUACAUCGGAACGUGCCUAGUAGUGGGGGAUAACUACUCGAAAGAGUGGCUAAUACCGCAUGAGAUCUACGGAUGAAAGCAGGGGAUCGCAAGACCUUGUGCUACUAGAGCGGCCGAUGGCAGAUUAGGUAGUUGGUGGGAUAAAAGCUUACCAAGCCGACGAUCUGUAGCUGGUCUGAGAGGACGAUCAGCCACACUGGGACUGAGACACGGCCCAGACUCCUACGGGAGGCAGCAGUGGGGAAUUUUGGACAAUGGGCGAAAGCCUGAUCCAGCAAUGCCGCGUGCGGGAUGAAGGCCUUCGGGUUGUAAACUGCUUUUGUACGGAACGAAAAGCUCUGGGUUAAUACCCUGGGGUCAUGACGGUACUGUAAGAAUAAGCACCGGCUAACUACGUGCCAGCCGCCGCCGUAACAC